AAAGCUCACGAGAAAGCCCCACGAUCAAAUGUUCCUCGCACCCUGGGAAAGACGAGAUCGAAGCGCUCGUUCCACAGUCGGCCUCAGAAUCGUGCACAGAACGUAGAUUUCAUCUAGGUCAGUCAA
rnacentral:lncRNA from 1 species